AGCGGCGAACAGGCUGCUCGGAGAGAGAGUGACGGUGGAUUCCAUAAAUUAACAGAAAAUCCCUCUUCUCCGGAGCCCAAGUUAUCUCUCCGUUGCCUGCAGCCCUGAUUUAGAAUGGGAGCCGGCUUGUUUACCGGUUUAAUUAAUGCUUCUUUUCAAGCGGGGAGGAGGGGAGGGGAAAUGAAGUGACUUGGUGAUAAACAGGUGUAGCCGGCCUGCCGCGAGCUCUCGGGGCCGGCGGCAGCCUCAUCAGGCUUGACUGGGCAUGACCCCGCCAGCGAAAAAGGUAGAUGGCCCAGUUGGAAGCGCAGUAGCUGUAACAACUUCACCGGCUGUCUUGGUUCCACCCCGAGGAUUUCGCUGAGAGAACACGGUUAGAGGGAAUCAGGAAGCAGAGAAAAGGUCACAAAUAAGCACCUCAGGAACAAUGAAAGCUUUUCUCUAUGCAACAGUGGGAACGUUGCUAGAAAAAACUGGAAAGGUAUUAAUCAGAAGUGGCUAUAAAUCCUCUGGAGUUUUGCUCUUAGAAAACUCCUCAGAGAAAGUCUUGAAGGAAAUGCAGGUCAAAGCCCAAAAAAGCUCUUGAUCAGAGAUUGCCGGAGGAAAAUCUUCCCAGACGCCGUUUAAUAGGCAGCAAUCACCCCAGGAGUGGGGAAGCCAAGUACGCUUGAAACAUGGUUGCAAUUCCUAAUAGAUCUUGCCACACUUAAGGCACUGCAAGCUCCGUCCAACGAACAGCUGAAGCUAGCUGGCGAUUCAUAAAGCCAACAGUUUAAAGUUUAUUAUGAUGAAAGCACUUAAUGACAGCCAUCGCUAGGGGCCCAUCAUUUAUAAAGCUGUGCUGAGUAUUAGACAUGUAGCAUGACCACCAAUUUUAUGUCACAAUUGCUACCAUAAAAUGACCUUUGGUGAUUUUUGCUGCAUGUGGUGGACAGCUCUUCCUUCACAUUAGUGCUCUGUGGCUUUCUUUGCAGACUAUUAUGCUGUCUAAAGCUUAUUUGGCACUGUCGUGAGCCUCAACCCUUGUUAUUACCCCAAAGGCCUGUCUUAAAAAAAAAAAAAAAGAAAAGAACUCAUGCUCUAUUACACCACUCCAAUAAUUUACAGUUCUUACCAGCUUGGGUUAGUGUAAUAUUUUAAUGCAAAUAUGCUUUGCCAUUGCAUUUUAUUAAAAAAAAAAGUUCCCAUGUUUCUGGCUAGGACACUAUCCAUUUGAUAGAGUCCACUGAAACCAGCCUCUUAUUCCCUGGUUAGGUCUCAUUGAAUGGGCGCUUCUUUCCCUGACUGCUUAAAAACACCUCCAGGAAGAAAAAAAAAAAAAAAAGGUUAAUUAAACUUUCCUCCAGAAAGAGUUUUGUGUUUUUUUUUAAAAGAUUCUACGUGUGAUAAACCCACCUAGCGCAGAAACACUAAUUCUUAUUUCCCUACAUCCUGUCCCAAUGCACAUUUACAUCUGAGUAACAUUAUUUAAUUAGGAUUCCAUUUUCCAACCUGCUUUGUGUAGUUAGAAAGUGUUUGAAUACCCGGCCACUUUACCGUUCUGAUGUAAACUGCUGCUGAGAAAGUGGUCUGUCCAUACUACACCAUCUUUAAAUUGUGUAUAUAAUUUUAUAAAUGAUAUAAAAUCUGCUUCUAGUCCCUGAAAAAAAAAUACAAGCAUGGCACACUGCAAUUUUGG
ensembl:lncRNA